UUUUGGGUGGUGUAGUGGUUUAAGCAUCUGAUUAUGACUUUGGAGACCAGAGUUCGAAUCCCUGCUCAACCA